rnacentral:rRNA from 1 species
CCUACGGGAGGCUGCAGUGGGGAAUAUUGCACAAUGGGCGCAAGCCUGAUGCAGCCAUGCCGCGUGUGUGAAGAAGGCCUUCGGGCUGUAAAGCACUUUCAGCGGGGAGGAAGGCGGUGAGGUUAAUAACCUCAUCGAUUGACGUUACCCGCAGAAGAAGCACCGGCUAACUCCGUGCCAGCAGCCGCGGUAAUACGGAGGGUGCAAGCGUUAAUCGGAAUUACUGGGCGUAAAGCGCACGCAGGCGGUCUGUCAAGUCGGAUGUGAAAUCCCCGGGCUCAACCUGGGAACUGCAUUCGAAACUGGCAGGCUAGAGUCUUGUAGAGGGGGGUAGAAUUCCAGGUGUAGCGGUGAAAUGCGUAGAGAUCUGGAGGAAUACCGGUGGCGAAGGCGGCCCCCUGGACAAAGACUGACGCUCAGGUGCGAAAGCGUGGGGAGCAAACAGGAUUAGAUACCCGGGUAGUC